rnacentral:rRNA from 1 species
AAGGAGCUUGCUCCUUUGAGACCGGCGCACGGGUGCGUAACGCGUAUGCAAUCUACCUUGUACAGGGGAAUAGCCCAGAGAAAUUUGGAUUAAUGCCCCAUAGUAUAUAACCUUCGCAUGUUGGUUAUAUUAAAGUUCCAACGGUACAAGAUGAGCAUGCGUCCCAUUAGUUAGUUGGUAAGGUAACGGCUUACCAAGACGAUGAUGGGUAGGGGUCCUGAGAGGGAGAUCCCCCACACUGGUACUGAGACACGGACCAGACUCCUACGGGAGGCAGCAGUGAGGAAUAUUGGUCAAUGGUCGCAAGACUGAACCAGCCAUGCCGCGUGCAGGAAGACGGUCCUAUGGAUUGUAAACUGCUUUUAUACAGGAAGAAACCCUCCCACGUGUGGGAGCUUGACGGUACUGUAGGAAUAAGGAUCGGCUAACUCCGUGCCAGCAGCCGCGGUAAUACGGAGGAUCCAAGCGUUAUCCGGAAUCAUUGGGUUUAAAGGGUCCGUAGGCGGUCUUAUAAGUCAGUGGUGAAAGCCCAUCGCUCAACGAUGGAACUGCCAUUGAUACUGUAAGACUUGAAUGCUUAGGAAGUAACUAGAAUAUGUAGUGUAGCGGUGAAAUGCUUAGAUAUUACAUGGAAUACCAAUUGCGAAGGCAGGUUACUACUAAGUGAUUGACGCUGAUGGACGGAAGCGUGGGGAGCGAACAGGAUUAGAUACCCUGGUAGUCCACGCCGUAAACGAUGGAUACUAGCUGUUCGGCGCAAGUUGAGUGGCUAAGCGAAAGUGAUAAGUAUCCCACCUGGGGAGUACGCACGCAAGUGUGAAACUCAAAGGAAUUGACGGGGGCCCGCACAAGCGGUGGAGCAUGUGGUUUAAUUCGAUGAUACGCGAGGAACCUUACCUGGGCUAGAAUGUG